UGAGGAAUACAUGGGUAAUCUGCCCUCAAGUUUGGGAUAACCAGUCGAAAGAUUGGCUAAUACCGGAUAAGACCACAGGAACUGAGGUUCUAGGGGUUAAAGGUUUUUCGCUUGAGGAUGAGCCCAUGUGGGAUUAGCUAGUUGGUGGGGUAAUGGCCUACCAAGGCGACGAUCCCUAACUGGUCUUAGAGGAUGAUCAGUCACACUGGAACUGAGACACGGUCCAG
rnacentral:rRNA from 1 species